GAUGAAGAACGUAGCGAAAUGCGAUAAGUAAUGUGAAUUGCAGAAUUCAGUGAAUCAUCGAAUCUUUGAACGCACCUUGCGCCCUUUGGCCAUUCCGAAGGGCAUGCCUGUUUGAGUAUCAUGAACACCUCAACUCUUCAUGGUUUUCCGUGAUGAGCUUGGACUUUGGGGGUCUUGCUGGCCUAUGGUCAGCUCCUCUAAAAUAAAUCAGCUUGCCAGUGUUUGGUGGGUAUCACAGGUGUGAUAACUAUCUACGCUUGUGGUUUUCCACCAGGUAACCUUCAGCAGUGGAGGUUCGCUGGAGCUCACAGAUGUGUCUCUCCUCAAUGAGGACAGCUCUUUGAAUGUUUGAUCUCAAAUCAGGUAGGACUACCCGCUGAACUUAAGCAUAUCAAUAAGCGGAGGA
rnacentral:misc_RNA from 1 species